UGGUUGGCAGUGUUUCGUGUCAGGUGUUUGACCUGGGUAAUUCUCAUUUCUUCGACACAAUUAAGUCGAAGCCAAGAUGAAACAUAAAAGAAAAUGCCAUAGAGUGCAAGCCCAACUUUCCAAUUAUUCAAUGGGUUUCUAAGCUAAUCAUAAUUGUUUUACUCAGCUCAUGGUAGAGCUACAUUUUGCUGGGAACUAGGAGCUGUUCUGAAAACAAGCUAGCAUGGGCUUAUGACAUGACCAAUGAACAACAAAGAGGUUGAUGAUCUGAAGAGUUCCCGGCGGAAGCUUUUCUCCUUCAAGGCCUCUUCGUUCAGCAGCCUUCGCUUCAAAACCUUUGAGCUGCAUUCUCGGCAUAUGCAUUAGAACAGAAUGCCACUGCAUAGGCCAUGGUAUUAGUCACGCCAUCUCUUAUGUCCACGCGAGCACAGGUUAUGGAAGUGUUCCCGGGACACAGCAGGCCAAAAAAUUUCUAUUAAAUCCAUGCAUCAAGCAUUUUGGUUCGCAGGAUCAGCAAGGCAAAACACGAAUUUUUUUUUUUCCUUUUUGGAAUUCACCUCUUACAUGCAUCACGUAUCUCUGGCUUUAGUAAUUUAACUGGGAGCAGUAUUCCUGCGUAAACAUCA